UACAGAGGUCUCAAGCGUUGUUCGGAUUCAUUGGGCGUAAAGGGUGCGUAGGCGGCGCGGUAAGUCGGGUGUGAAAUCUCAGAGCUCAACUCUGAAACUGCACUCGAUACUGCUUUGCUCGAGGACUGGAGAGGAGAUUGGAAUUCACGGUGUAGCAGUGAAAUGCGUAGAUAUCGUGAGGAAGACCAGUGGCGAAGGCGGAUCUCUGGA
rnacentral:rRNA from 1 species